ensembl:snRNA U6 U6 spliceosomal RNA
AUGCUUGCUUUGGCAGCACAUAUGCUAAAAUUGGAACGAUAACAGAAAGGAUUAGUAUGGCCCCUGGGCAAAGAUGACAUUCAAAUUUGUGAAGCAUUCCAUCUUUUU